UGGAACUUAGCUCAGUUGGUAGAGCCGAGGGCGAUAACCCUCGAGAAAAAUCGGUUCGAGUCCGUUGAAGUAAGGUUACAUUAGCGCAGGUUCAAGUCCUGCAGUUCCAA
rnacentral:tRNA from 1 species